GAGCGGCGAACGGGUGAGUAACACGUGGGUGAUCUGCCUUGCACUUCGGGAUAAGCCUGGGAAACUGGGUCUAAUACCGGAUAUGACCUCGGGAUGCAUGUUCUGGGGUGGAAAGAUUUAUCGGUGCGAGAUGGGCCCGCGGCCUAUCAGCUUGUUGGUGAGGUAACGGCUCACCAAGGCGACGACGGGUAGCCGACCUGAGAGGGUGACCGGCCACACUGGGACUGAGACACGGCCCAGACUCCUACGGGAGGCAGCAGUGGGGAAUAUUGCACAAUGGGCGAAAGCCUGAUGCAGCGACGCCGCGUGCGGGAUGACGGCCUUCGGGUUGUAAACCGCUUUUGACAGGGACGAAGCGUAAGUGACUGUACCUGUAGAAUAAGGACCGGCCAACUACGUGCCAGCAGCCGCGGUAAUACGUAGGGUCCGAGCGUUGUCCGGAAUUACUGGGCGUAAAGAGCUUGUAGGCGGUUCGUCGCGUCGUUUGUGAAAACUUGGGGCUCAACCUUAAGCUUGCAGGCGAUACGGGCGGACUAGAGUACUUCAGGGGAGACUGGAAUUCCUGGUGUAGCGGUGAAAUGCGCAGAUAUCAGGAGGAACACCGGUGGCGAAGGCGGGUCUCUGGGAAGUAACUGACGCUGAGAAGCGAAAGCAUGGGUAGCAAACAGGAUUAGAUACCCUGGUAGUCCAUGCCGUAAACGGUGGGUACUAGGUGUGGGGCUCCUUCCACG
rnacentral:rRNA from 1 species